CAGGUCUCUUUUGCUUCACAAAUGAGAAAUUGCUGUAACAUUUCAAUUAGUUCUUGUGGGUGAUGUUUUCAGCAUGUUUUUACAUACGAGUUUCUAGUCACAUAAACCUGGUGGAAUAAUUGUCUUUCCUCAAUGAAGCUUGGUGAGACUGGGGAAGAAUGGUGUGGAGGAAGUUUCGGAAUUGGGUCCUCUCUGAGACUUGGCUUUGCAGCUCCUAAAGUGACCAUACUUAUAGCUAAUUAGCUCACUUGCAUCAUUUGAUGUUUGUAGGAGAAAGAUAUUGAGGGGUUGAGCUUACUGACCAUACUUGGCUUGAGUGAAUCAUACAUGAUGAGGU